GUUCGCAUAUGCAGGAGAUUUUAGCAUUUCAAAUUAUUCGAUUGUGGUUUGUAAGUUGUCAAGCUUGUAUCUAAGGGACAGAGUGGCAGCACUGGCGGGACAUGGAGGAGAUACAUGCAGGAGAAGUGGAGCGAUUUUUUUUUGGUGAUGGACGCACGGCAUAGCAUUCUGGCUGAAUGCGGAAUAAUAUCGAUUAUUAUCCAGUGCGGAACUUGGCGGUGGACGGUUGGUUUUGCAGCAGACUUCGUAAGUUACUUGACUACUUCAAAUUGUAUUUCUUCUCCCUCCUCCCCCUCGCACCCGCCAACUUGUGGGUGGCGGGCUGUUUGCAGGUGCUGAGAGUUGGGCGAAUGCGUUAGCUGGAGUGCUGCCCAGGCUCGUGCUGAAGCUGGUGACAUGUGGGAGGCUGAUGUCUACGCGGGCGGCAUGGGGUGGUUUGUGCAGGUGGAUUGAUUGGGGUUUUUCUUUGUGCCUUUUUUUGAUGCACAGUCAGGAUGUGUGGAGGCCGUGCUGACCGUUGUAUGUCAGGCCUUAAGAUUGGAUGCGAAACUCCUGAAGAGAACUCCAGCAGAGUUUUGUUUACGCCGUGUACAGAUUAGACGGAGACGGUUGAAAAGCAAUGAGUGCAUACGCCGUAGCAGGGUGAGCUUGGGCGACCUUCUUGUACUGGAGAGUGGGACUUUAGAAAGAGGGUGGAUUGCAUGCGGCACUCCUAGAACAGAGGUUUGAAGAUGAAAGUCCAUCGUCGUGCGGCAGAGGAUGGUAUGGCUGACAUUGUGAUCGACACUGUGGAGACCAAGUGAGGCUAAAUGGACCGCUUAGGUAAAAUGUUGGAAAUGGUCGUUCACGGGGAGAAUUGUUUGAAACAUAUAGCGAGCAUCUAUGUGGAGGAAGACGACGGUGAGAACAGCAGUGGUGAAGAGGAUGGCGUGGAAUCGUCAGCGGAGGCGGGACAUGGUAGUGAAGGCCGGCAUGGAUUGGGCGAGAGUGUGGGCAUGGAGGGUAGGGAUGAUGGAGUCAACGACGAGAAUAGGACGGAGGAGUGCGGAGGGAGCUUCGACGGGGUGCAUGGUGGGGGUAGCUCGGAGGAGAGGGAUGA
rnacentral:lncRNA from 1 species